rnacentral:rRNA from 1 species
UAUGGGAGGUCAGGGUGAGUAAUACUUAGGAAUCUACCUAAUAGUGGGGGACGACAUUUCGAAAGGGAUGCUAAUACCGCAUACGCCCUACGGGGGAAAGCAGGGGACUCUUCGGAGCCUUGCGCUAAUAGAUGAGCCUAAGUCGGAUUAGCUAGUUGGUGGGGUAAAGGCCUACCAAGGCGACGAUCUGUAGCGGGUCUGAGAGGAUGAUCCGCCACACUGGGACUGAGACACGGCCCAGACUCCUACGGGAGGCAGCAGUGGGGAAUAUUGGACAAUGGGGGGAACCCUGAUCCAGCCAUGCCGCGUGUGUGAAGAAGGCCUUUUGGUUGUAAAGCACUUUAAGCGAGGAGGAGGCUCCCAGUAUUAAUACUACUGGAGAGUGGACGUUACUCGCAGAAUAAGCACCGGCUAACUCUGUGCCAGCAGCCGCGGUAAUACAGAGGGUGCAAGCGUUAAUCGGAUUUACUGGGCCGUAAAGCGUGCGUAGGUUGGCCAAUUAAGUCAAAUGUUGAAAUCCCCCGAGCCUUAACUUGGGGAAUUGCAUUCGAUAACUUGGUUGGCUAGAAGUAUUGGGGAGAGGAUUGGUUAGAAUUCCCAGGUGUAGCGGUGAAA